rnacentral:sRNA from 1 species
AAGCGGGACUCGUAAGUCCUGGAUCGGGCUGCUCGUGUGUAAGCACGUGAUACUCCGUCGUGGCCGUAAGGGCCUGCCUUUUGGCGUGAACGGUGAGAAUCGGCCCCCAGGGUGAGCCUGCUU